GAUGAACGCUGGCGGCGUGCUUAACACAUGCAAGUCGAACGGAAAGGCUCCUGCUUGCAGGGGUACUCGAGUGGCGAACGGGUGAGUAACACGUGGGUGAUCUGCCCUGCACUUCGGGAUAAGCCUGGGAAACUGGGUCUAAUACCGGAUAGGACGAUGGUUUGGAUGCCAUUGUGGAAAGUUUUUUCGGUGUGGGAUGAGCUCGCGGCCUAUCAGCUUGUUGGUGGGGUAUUGGCCUACCAAGGCGUCGACGGGUAGCCGGCCUGUGAGGGUGUACGGCCACAUUAGGACUGAGAUACGGCCCAGACUCCUACGGGAGGCAGCAGUGGGGAAUAUUGCACAAUGGGCGCAAGCCUGAUGCAGCGACGCCGCGUGGGGGAUGACGGCCUUCGGGUUGUAAACUACUUUCGCUAGGGACGAAGCGCAAGUGACGGUACCUGGAGAAGAAGCACCGGCUAACUACGUG
rnacentral:rRNA from 1 species